UACACCUUCAAACAGUUACGUCGGAUUACAUACUCCACAACAACCUGUAAUCCAGCAGAUCUUUAAAGAAGCCAUCUCUUGUAAAAUCUCUCUCUCUCUCUCUCUCUCUCUCUCGCUCUCGCUCUGCUAGAAUUAACAGGGAACUUCAACUCCACGCUCCCAAUGCUGAUAUUGAAGAAGCUGUCAAGGGGGCUGAACAAGUCCUUCAAAGGAUCAACCCUUCACAGGAAGGCCUGUCAUGAGAUUUGAAUUUGACCAUCUUGUGCAUUUAUGAAGAAGACCAAAAGCUGCAAAGGCAAACACUUCCAAUGGAUUUCUCACAGAUUACUUAAUCAUUCUUCAUCAGCUCUUCACAAUAUCAGCCCAUUCAAAAGCUUCCAGAUCUUCCUCUCUUGUGUGACACAUCUGCUCUCAGUCCUUUACUGCCAACCUCCAGUCUUAGCAUUUCUGCUUGUAUUCAUUUUUCCUCUACAUUCAUCACUCCAAUCUCUACUAUAAGCACUCCUGUAUAUAUAUAUAUAUAUAUACACAUAAUAAUAAUUAUUAUUAUUAACCAUUUAUUUGUUUUGCAUUUAUUCACAAUAGAAUCAAACAAUGAUUACAGGAUAUAUAAUUUUAAAGGUGAUAAUUGUAAAAUAUUGGAGCAUUGUUCUUAAUCAUUUUUGCCUAUUUGGUUGAUAAAGGGAAGAAAACAAUAUAUUUUCAACUGUAGCCUUGAUUAUUCUUUGGCAUCUUUUGUCAGGAUUUCUGUAAACAAAUUCCCUUUUUAUUUUUGAAUAUUAAACUUGUGUUUUUUGAAGGGAGUUUCUGUUGCAAUUUUGUUUGUUUGUUUUCACUUAGUUACCUCUAUGCAUUUUUUUUAAUCAACUUUUCUUUUUUUUCAUAGUGGAAUAAACUGGAGAGAGACUGUUCUGGGCACUAUGUUUAUCUGCGAAAAGUUUGACAUAUCAAUAAACACUGUAAAAU